GGGCAGGUAGCCUAGUGGUUAAGGGAGCCCAUGUGUGUUGGGUCCAGAUCCAUUGGAUCUGGUUGCUGGUUUGAAUCCAGCCCUGACCA